rnacentral:sRNA from 1 species
GAGAGAAAAAAAGUCAGCAACGUGUGUUGGCGAAGCAUGAGUCAGCAUCAACAUGCAAUAAUGGCCCCAACCCUUUUCGGUGAACCUUACUCACUCUCUCUAUUAUCUCUACACACUGCAACACUACUCCAACUUCUCUCUCUUCGCUGCACUUCUGUCAUGGUCUCAUGGUCUCAUGGUCUCAUGGUGGUGCAUGCAUGAGCUCGGUCAAUGCACCAUUCUUCUUGUCAAAACCAGAUUAUUCACAAAGAAAAAUCAUACCAACCAACGGAAUUUCAAAGUCAAACAAAGUGCCUUUGAAAUUUUAAACCCAGUUUCUAAGAAAAUGGUUUCUUUUCACCAUCAAAGUGGUUAUCAGUUCCUAUAAAUUGGGUGCAUACUGAACAGAGAAGGAAGAGAUUGUCAAUUUUCAGACAAACUUGUCGGAAAGAAGAACAGAGACGGCCAUUGAAGCCCUCAAGUGUUGAGACAGUGACAGCUCAUUACAACCAAAGAGAUAAAGGCUGAGCUGAAUCAUCUCAGGUCGAAACCCAAGACAGGUCAACUCGGACCGAAGGUUGAUAUGGACAAUUUUGAACAAAAAUUUAAGAUGAGUCGCUUUGGGCCAAAGGUCAAUAAGGCUAACCCAAGCCAACGAAAGGGCCUAAACUAAAGGUCAUGACGGGUUGACCCGUGUUAAAGAUCAUGACUAGUUGGUUGGGUCGAAGGUCGAGGCAAGUUGUAUCGAAUUGAAGGUCAAGACAAUUUGUCCCAAGGAGAAAUUUGAGAUGAGUCAUCUCGGUCCAAACAUCAAUAAGGUUGGUCCAGGACGAAGGUUGAGGCGAGACAAUCCAAACCAAAGGACGGGGCAUGUUGAAAAUUAAGACGAGUUAUCUCAAAUAGAAAGUCAAAACAAAUUGGCUCGGGCUGAAAGUCAAGACGUGCAGACUGAAGAUCGAGACAUGUCAACCCGAAUGAAAAGUCAAGACAGGUCGUCCUAAACCAAAGGUUAAGAGGGGUUAACUCAAACUAAAGGUUGUGACGGAGCAAUCCAAAUGUUAAAAAGACUUUUUAUUGUGUUUACAUGAGUUGUUUUUAAAAUCAG